CCAUUUUCUCACGCUGCUUCUUUCUCUCGCUGUUUCUCUCUCCUUCUCUGCUUUCCUUUUUCUUUUCUUUUUCCACAAGCUUCCACUCUUGAUUUAUCCCUCAUUUUUUAGUGUUUUUAAAAGCCGUUUGCGGCUAUUCGAAGCCCACGACGAGAUCAACAAGUUGAUAGGAGUAAUUCCUUGGUUGGUGCACUAUAAGAGAUUCGAAAAUCCUAGGAUUUUAGGUGAAGAAAUUGGGGGUUUUACAUAAAAGUGAGCACGAUGUCACGGCGUGAGGAAACCAGGGAAGUUGGCCCUAAACCGACUAGGAGUGAUGUUGGCGAGAGCUCUAGCUCCAAUCCGGAGGAGCUAAAUGAUGAGGACACACUUCUUAGGGACUUGAUUCCCCCGAGAGUUGUCCCCACAAGGAGGGAUAAUGUUGAAGCACCGGUAGAAGUGGGUGAAGGUUCUGUGGCACUGGAGUUGAAUCAUUUGUUGCAAAAUUCCGUGAGGGCAACGAUUGCUGCUCAGUCACAGUCGGCACCACAACCUACAGUUCAAGUUGAGGAGACGCCAGCUUAGAAGCAUCUCAAGAUCAUUAAGGGGUUUUCUCAACUGAUGCCGGUUAUGUUUGAGGCGGUGCAGAUCCAAUGGUAGCAGACGACUACAUGGAUCAAGUUGAGACACAAUUGACCUCAAUGGAUGUGACAGAGGAUCACCUGAAGAUCAUUCUAGCAACUUACAAGUUUGCUAAGGAUGCCAAACUUUGGUGGAAGAUGGUUACGAAUCGGCAUAAGGUGGAAGAGAUGAGUUGGGACAAGUUCAAGGAACUAUUUUACGAGAAGUAUUUUUCGCUUUCUAAAAUAUGGGAGUUAAAAGACCAGUUUCUUAGCCUUAUUCAAGGCAAUAUGUCAGUGGCGGAGUAUGAGAACAAGUUCAUUUCACUUUCUCGCUUUGCUCCGAAAAUGGUAAGAGAUGAAGUUGACAAGACUCGGAAAUUUGUUUCUGGUCUUAAUGAUAGAAUGAGGCCGUUGAUAACGGCACAGUUUAUCAAAGUUUAUUCUGAGGUAAUAGAGAGGGCCUUGAUGCUUGAGGCUGAUAUUAAAGAUAAGGAUGCAAGAAGGGAGCAGUGGAAGCAAAAGAGGAACGUAGGGUCAUUUUUAGAGGGACCUUCAGGGAAGAGGAACAUGGGUGGUUCAUCUCAAUUUCAGGGGCAACAGUCAGCACGAUCCGCUCCUACCACUCCUAUGCCAGCAGGGUCUGCCAGGAGUGGUGUCAUUUGUUAUCGUUGUAAUCAGUCGGGUCACUACAAGUUAGAGUGUCCACAGACAUCGGUUAAUUCUGGGGCUUAAGAAUUGUACUAAUCAGGGAGCAGGCACCGGUAGUGGCAGAGGAUCACAACAGAGACCGUCACAGUCAGCUACAGUUUAGUUAGGUUUCAGACCACCACCAUCACAGCCUGCCAUGUCCUCUCAGGGCUCACGGCCAGUUAGGAGGGAUACUCCUACUAUAUUAGUGCAGCAGUCAGGUGUUCAAGUUGGCAGUUCUCAGGCACAGGUAUCACAGGGACCUGUCUUUGCACUUGCACCGACUGAUGCAUCUCCUGGAUUGUCAGUUCUCCGAGGUAUAUUUCCAGUGUUUGGUUCUUAGGCCCGUGUUUUGUUUGACUCUGAUGCAUCUUAUUCCUUUAUAUCAUCAUCAUUUGCACUUGCAUCAAGGUUAGAGGUCAGUUUCAUAGAUCGAGCGUUGUGUGUUGAUACGCUAAUUGGGGUUUCAGUGUCUUUGAGUCGAGUUGUGCAGGAUUGUUCUAUUGUGAUAGCUGGACGGACUUUUGUGUUUGAUCUUAUCCUCCUGGAGAUGACUAGCUUUGAUGUCAUUCUUGGGAUAGAUUGGUUAGCUUCCUUUCGUGCCACGAUCGACUGUUUUAGAGGUAGAGUCACAGUUUGCACUCCCGAGGGAGACUGUUUCUUUUUCGUGGGAGAUCGGAGUGAUUUCCACAUUUCAUCAUUUUAUGGAGUUCGUGGACAGAGUCGUGGUGAUUACUUCUUGGCUAGCCUUAUAGCCAAAGAAGAUGAUGUUGUGAAAGAGGAUUAUCCUACAGUUGUUCGUGAUUUUCUGGAUGUGUUUCUGGAGGAUUUGACAGAGUUGCCUCCACACCGAGAAGUGAAAUUCUCUAUUGAUUUGAUGCCAGGUACUGCGCCUAUUUCUAUGGCACCGUAUCGUAUGGUACCAAUUAAAUUGGAAGAAUUAAAAAGGCAACUUGAUGAUUUGAGGAUGAAAGGUUUCAUCAGACCGAGUGUGUCGCCGUAGGGCGCACUGGUCUUAUUCGCUAAGAAAAAAGAUGGUUCCUUGAGGUUGUGCAUUGAUUACCAGAAGUUGAAUCAUGCCACCAUCAAGAACAAGUAUCCCUUGCCAAGGAUAGAUGAUUUGUUUGAUCAGUUGAGAGGAGCCAGUUAUUUCUCGAAGAUUAACUUGAGGUCAGGCUACUAUCAGUUACGGAUUAGGGAUGAGGAUAUCCCAAAGACAGUAUUCCGUACAUGGUAUGGACACUAUGAGUUCCUUGUUAUGCCUUUUGGCUUGACUAAUACGCCAGCGGCAUUCAUGGACUUGAUGAACCGCGUCUUUCACGAUUACUUGGACCAGUUUGUGGUAGUUUUCUUGAAUGACAUUCUCGUGUAUUCAUGAUCUAGGGAGGAGUAUGAGAUCCAUUUAAGUAUUGUUUUACAGAUUUUGCGGGAGCACCGAUUGUAUGCCAAAUAUGAGAAACGUGAGUUUUGGCUAUAGGAGGUGAAAUUUUUAGGGCAUGUUGUUUCAGAAGGUGGAGUGUCGGUGGAUCCAUCAAAGGUUGAAGUAGUUUUGACUUAGGAGCAACCCAAGAAUGUUUUUGAGAUUCGGAGUUUCCUUGGCUUAGCGGGUUACUAUCGGAGAUUUGUGAAGGAUUUCUCUCGUUUGGCAGCUCCUAUGACCCGUUUAACCCGGAAAGGGAUCAAGCUUACGUGGAAUGAAGCCUGUGAGUCAUCCUUUCAAGAGUUGAAGACAAGAUUGACUACAGCUCCAGUGUUGGUGAUACCUGAGUGUAGCUUGGGUUAUGUGAUUUAUUGUGAUGCUUCGCGUGAUGGUUUGGGAUGUGUGUUGAUGUAGGAUGGUAGAAUAGUGGCUUAUGGGUCUCGAUAGUUGAAGACUCACGAGCUUAACUACCCUACUCACGAUUUGGAGUUAAAAACAGUCGUAUUUGCUUUGAAGUGUUGGAGACAUUACUUGUAUGGUGAGAGAUUUGACGUGUACUAGGAUCAUAAAAGUCUCAAGUAUCUUUUCUCCAAAAAUGACUUGAACAACAGACAUAGAAGAUGGAUUGAGUUCUUGGAGGACUAUAAUUUUGACUUACAGUAUCAUCCGGGCAAGGCAAAUGUGGUAGCAAAUACCUUAAGCCGGAAAUCUCGUGGAACUUUGGCUAGUUUGGCCAUCCGAAAAUGGAAGAUGCUUGAAGAUCUGGCAGAAAUGGGAUUGUAUUGUUUUGAUGACGAUGUUGACAGUGAGCCAACAUUCUUGUUUAGUCAUGUGGCUCAGCCUACUCUUAUUGUACGAGUGAUUGAGUCACAGAGACAGGACCCAGAUUUAGAUGCCAUUCACGUUUUGAUCUCUAGUGGUGAGACAGUGAAAGAUUGGGCCUUGCAUACAGAUGGGGGUCUGCAGUUCAGGGGUUUGUUGGUGGUUCCCACGGUUUGUCAUGAGGACGUCUUAUGGGAGUGUCACACUUCCCGCUUUGCACUUCAUCCAGGUGGUACCAAGAUGUAUCACAAUUUGAGACGUCAGUAUUGGUGGAACGGGAUGAAGAAAGAUGUUACUUAGUUUAUGGCUAAGUGCCUUACUUGUCAGCAGGUGAAGGCCAAGCAUCAGAGACCAGCUGGUUUAUUGCAACCAUUGCCUAUAGCGCAGUGGAAAUGGGAACAUAUUGCUAUGGAUUUUGUGACAAGUCUUCCAAGGUCACGGAGGGGCAAUGAAGUCGUAUGGGUCAUCAUUGACAAAUUGACUAAGACGGCUCACUUUUUGCCUAUUAAGGCCAACCAUUGGUGUUAUUUAUGUGAAGGAGAUUGUAAAGUUGCAUGGAGUUCCAGUAACCAUUGUUUCAGAUAGGGAUGCCAAGUUCACUUCGAAGUUCUGGGAAGGACUUCAAGCAGCGGUUUGUUCAGCGUUGCACAUGAGUACGGCAUUCCAUCCACAGACAGACGGCCAGUCGGAGCGUACUAUCUAGAUCUUGGAGGAUAUGCUUCGGGCAUGUGUGCUUAAUUUGGGAGAUAGUUGGGAGGAUCACCUUCCACUUAUUGAGUUUGCUUACAACAACAGUUAUCAGGCGAGUAUCCAGAUGGCUCCAUUUGAGGUGUUGUAUGGUAGACCUUGUAGGUCUCCUGUUUGUUGGACUGAGGUGGUCAAGACAGCUGCCUUAGGACUCGACAUUGUACUUGAGACUACUGAGAAGAUUAAACUGAUCAAACAAAGGCUAAUUAUAGCACAGAGUCGACAGAAGAACUAUGCAGAUAGGCGGAGACAACCUCUAUCUUUUGAGGUGGGAGACUAUGUUUUUCUACGGGUUUCUCUACGGAAGGGGUUGAUGAGAUUCGGGAAGAGUGGCAAGUUAUUGCCACGAUUCAUUGGACCUUUUGAGAUCUUGGACCAUGUAGGGGAGGUUGCCUACAGACUUGCUUUGCCACCAUAGAUGGAUAAAGUCCACAAUGUCUUUCAUGUGUCGAUGUUAUAGAAAUACGAGCCGGAUCCAUCUCACAUUUUGAGUUGGGUUGAUGUGGACAUUGAUGAGGAUGUUUCCUGCGAAGAGGGACCAAUUCAGAUCCUUGACACACAAUAGAAGGUGUUGAGGAACAAGACGAUACCCAUAGUGGAAGCUCUUUGGAAACACCACGAAGUCGAGGAGGCUACUUGGGAGCUCGAACAGGAGGUUCACUCCAAGUAUCCAGAGUUGUUUUCUUCCUCAAGUAUAUAUUGAUUUUUGGGAUGAAAUCUUUUAAAGUUGGGGAGAAUAUAAUGUUUUUGACUUUAUAUAUAUAUAAAUGUUAUAUUUAUCAUGGGACCCACCUAUUUAUUAAACAUUUUAAUGGCAUGGGUCAUUAAAGACCCAUUUUCUCACGCUGCUUCUUUCUCUCGUUGUUUCUUUCUCCUUUUCUGCUUUCCUUUUUCUUUUCUUUUCCCACAAGCUUCCACUCUUGAUUUCUCCCCCAAUUCUUAGUGUUUUUAAGAGCCGUUUGCGGCUAUUCGAAGCCCACGACGAGAUCAACAAAUUGAUAUGAGCAAUUCCUUGGUUGGUACACUAUAAGAAAUUUGAAAAUCCUAGGCUUUGAGGUGAAGAAAUUGGGGGUUUUGCAUAAAAGUAAGGUAGAGGUUCUAAUUCACAUGUUCUUGGGCUUUUUUGUGAAUUACUUUACUUAAUUGAUGAUUAGCGUGCUUAAUUUGUAGAAAAUUUCUUACUUUAUUAUAUAUAUAUAUAUAUAUUGUGCCAAGUUGUGACUAUGUGUUGCUUGAUAUAUAUGAUAAUAAAGCAUGUAAAUUGUUGAUUAAUUCAAGCUUUUGGUGCCUUUAGUGCUAGUUUGGUGAUUAAAAAGUAUGAAAUAUAAUUUUAGAAUUUUUUUUAUGGUGUAAAGCAUGUCUAAGUAUCAAAUUUUCAUGCCUAUUAUGAUUAAUUUGCUAGAAUUUGCUAUAUGGAAGUGUGUUAAUUUGUGAAAUAUGAAAAUCUUAUGUUGAUUUGCGAAUUGUAAAAAACAAAAUCCUUCAUUUGACAUGGCAUUGAGAAGUAUAAGACAUUCAUGCAUAUCUUUGGGAUAGAAUGGGGGGAAAAAAAAAAAAUUAAUUUGAAAGAAAUGAAAUAAAUUUUGGAAAAAAAUUUUGAAAAGAAUUUUUGUGAAAAAACCAGGCCGCCUAGGAGUUACCUAGGGACCGCGGCGUUAGUGAGGCUUAGAGGGGAUUAGGGAAAUCACCCUAGUGUGGUUGAGUUACCUGGACCCCAAAUGACGCCAUGGAGUUGCCAUGGGUCAGGGACAGUGGCCAAUCCUCCUCUCAUGCCGCUAUAGAGUUGCCAUGGGACGGGUUCACUAAUGGUUUGAAAAUGAUGAUGGAAAUGGUUUUGGAAAAUGGGGAGUGACAUUGCAUGGCAUGGCAUAUCAUUGCAUGUCAUAUUCAUUUGUGGUAUCGGAUUAAUGAUGUGGUAUUGUGGUUAUUUAUAUUCUUAUUUAUAUUCUUUUUUCCCGGCAUGGUAUGAUCCAUAUUUCCUUAUUCCUAUUCAUGGUGUGGAUUCACGGAGUCUCAAGAGGUGUGCCUUAGGCACUUCCUACUGAGCUUAUGCUCACCCCUUAUAUUUAUCAUUUUUCAUGAAACGGGAAAGAAGUGACGGAUGACAUACCACCACAGGCCUAAUUUGGAUUGGAAGACCUUUUUGCUAUUUUUGUUUUAAGUCCCAUAUUUUUUGUAAAACCUUAAUUUGAUAUAUGUAGUAUAGAGAUUUAUGGACUCUUGCUAUUAUAGUUAUAUUUAUGGGCUAUAAUUUUAUUAUAAGUUGUCUAAACGUAGUAAGACAUGGACGUUUGAACUUAAUUAUAUUUUUGGGACUGUAAUUAUGAUAUUUGGAUUAAA